GCAGCCGCGGUAAUACGUAGGUGGCAAGCGUUGUCCGGAAUUACUGGGUGUAAAGGGCGCGUAGACGGGAUUGUAAGUUAGAUGUGAAAUACCGGGGCUCAACCCCGGGGCUGCAUUUAAAACUGCAGUUCUUGAGUGCAGGAGAGGGAAGCGGAAUUCCUAGUGUAGCGGUGAAAUGCGUAGAUAUUAGGAGGAACACCAGUGGCGAAGGCGGCUUUCUGGACUGUAACUGACGUUGAGGCGCGAAAGCGUGGGUAGCAAACAGGAUUAGAUACCCC
rnacentral:rRNA from 1 species